GACGAACCGUGCGAACGUUGUUCGGAAUCACUGGGCUUAAAGGGCGCGUAGGCGGGCCCUCAAGUCCGGGGUGAAAUCCUCCCGCCCAACGGGAGAAGAGCCUCGGAGACUGAGGGCCUCGAGGGGGGUAGGGGCGUGCGGAACUAUGGGUGGAGCGGUGAAAUGCAUUGAUAUCCAUAGGAACUCCGGUGGCGAAGGCGGCACGCUGGACCCCUUCUGACGCUGAGGCGCGAAAGCCAGGGGAGCAAACGGG
rnacentral:rRNA from 1 species